rnacentral:lncRNA from 1 species
AAGUUCGAUACAAAAGCGAGAACACAUAAGAAGAGCCAACUACGGAGACAUAAUCAUUAAACAUACUAACAAGUGGCUAAUUCAUCUGCCUUGUCGAUAUACUUCACAGGGACCCGCCUCACACGAACCUGAUACAAACAAAAUGUGAGAUAUAUAGAGCACAAUGAGUUCUACACUAAAGCAUCAAAUAACUAAGAAUUGAACAGGAAAAAAGAUAAAUACUAAAAGAAAUAAAUAGUUAAGUGCAUCAAAUAACUAAGCCUGAGAACAAUGACAACAUAGUGGGAACACCAGAACUAAAUAAAAUUUAAGUAACAGAAGCCAGAUGACAAUCCAAAUUGGCAGUUUGAAUUGAUUAUACACAACAGAAAAAGGAAUCGUCAAACAACUCCUCAAAAUUUUGCAACACCUCAUGUAACAAAAAUUACGAAAAGAGAGGGACCAACAAAGUUAAAUAAAUGAGCUGCUAUACAAUAAAACGCAUCUUACAAGCUGCAAGUUAUUUUAACAAGUAUAGAAAUCGAGCACACAUGGUUAAAUACCCAAGGUACUACUAACUACACAUGGAAACAACCAGGAAUUACAACUUUAAUCGUUUAAGUAACAACAAGUCAUAUAUAAAAAGUGAACAUCACUCAAAUUAGCCUACCCGAGUCUGCAAAUCAUCACCAGUGGCAAUGUUACCCACCAUGCGCAGAGCUGCAAUGAGAACAGAAGUCGACGGGUACCUAAAUAAAUCAAAUAACAGGAGUUAACACAUCAACCAUGUGUCAUGCUAGCUGUUGGAAAAGGUAAACAUGAAAAAUGCUCUUACAAGAGAAGCUCCACAAGCGAGGAAAAACACCAGACUCAAUCACAGCAGGAGGAACACCCUACACUUCAAAAAAAAUAUUUGAGUAGAAGGCUCAACCGAUACUUAAUAUUGUUGAUAAGGAAACAAUUCAUUCCAAAACUACAUGUAAGGCCAACAUAGCAAGCAGGGAAUAAAUUCCUCAUGUGUAUCUAUCUAGAAAUUAACCUACUAAUUCAGUAAUCUUCCUAAGAGAGGAGUAGCCGACUUCGGUUUGUCAAGCCAAGUUGAUGAGUUGUGUGCAUAUCACUUAAGGAAAAGACUAAAUGCAUAUUACUUUCCACAUGUGAGAGGGUGCGUACUGCACAAAGCACCGAUUGUAGAGCAUGUUCAUGUCUCAAAUAAAACACACAACCAAGAGAAGGAAUUAACUGACCUGAUCUGAAGGAGGAAAGAUAGUGCCACCCCCUCUUCCAUGGCCAAGCACAUUCCUACAAAAAAACAAGAAAUGCGUCAUAUUUAUUAUCCAUCCUCACACAUCCCUACAAAAAAGAAGAAAAUAAAGCCUUUGAGGGCAAUCUGAAUAGACUUGAGCAUGACAAAAUAUCAUAGAGAAGCAAAUCACAAAUGAUGAUGUUUAUAUAAAGCAGUUUAGACUUACCAUCAAGUUUGUAGCUCAAAGCUCGACACAUCAAGUUUGGCAAAAAGGAAUAUAUCAAAAGCUAAGCAGCUUGCUCGAUUGCUCAAGAGCGUACCUAUAUCAGUAAUGGUCAAUCAUCAUUGCACCAUAUUAGAAUUCUAUUUAAAAAACAUAGCGGACAAAAUGUUGUAGCAUUAUUAUUUAUAGCAUGUAAGAAUAAAUAGCUGCAACUGGUAACUUGCGGAAAAAUAGUAGUGGUAUCACAACGAAUUAAACCAAGCUAUGUGAUGAGCAUAACUACUUCAAAGUAUAGGAUAUUUUAAAAGAACUUCUAAUAUGCCUUGGUUGUAAUUAUUAAGGAACAACCCCAAAACCACCAACACACACCAAACAAAGGACAAAAAAUGGAUAUUAGAUGAAGAAGAAUAGAUAUCAACACAUAACAAGUAACGAAAAAUAAAGCAGAGCGUAGUUUACCUUAUGAACCAAACAACAACAGCAGGGUCCAGCAGUUUCCAACAGUGAACAGGAUUCCAAGGCCACUUACAAACUGAAAGAAACAAACCAGCAGAAAGUAAAAAGAUAAAAAACAUUAACCAGGAACUAUAAAUUUGAGCACAACCGUCUUAGAGAGUUGUUACUGGGGACGUAGCAUGAGUGAAAGCACAUUAGUAUUAUUACUUAUACUCAUACAACAUUAUUGUUUUAACUGAACUGAGCAUCCAACAGUGUGUGAACAACUAACCAUGGAGUCAAUCAAAAUAAAGUUAGAAUUGAAACUACACAUGUAGCCCAUAAUCCAACUGUCCAUGUGAAAUCGGAGAGAAGUAACCAACUAUUUUUAUUAUUAUUUUGUAUUUCUCGUGACAGAGAGCCUGCCAUGCUGAUGUUUUGAAAUCAACACAGUAACUGUAACCACAUGCAUAUAUUUGAGCAUUGGAAAAAUAUACGAGCACAUGCCUUUCUUCUCAUACCAAGUGCAUCUACAUAAAAAAUAUGAGAACAUGCCUUUUUUCGGUAAACGACAAGUUUCAGUAUGGGCUCCAAUGAUUUGGAUGUCCACUUAAACAAAGCUAACCAGUAUAUUAGAAUUUGAGAAUAGCCGUGCACCACCUCAUCACAACAUAAGUAAUAUAUGUUGUUGCUGGCCAUGACACGUGUCAUGCACCUUUUUUGACAAACCAAAUGACAAAAAAACAUUUUGGAUCUACUGUUAACUCUAUUUGGUUUCGAAGGUAAUGUUGGUUCAAGAGAGAAGUGCAACCUGCAAUACUCUGGGCAUGAAAAGGACACGCAAAAUUGGUCAGUCGCAAUCAUGUGUAUGUGUGACCCUUAAAAAAGCUGCAAUUUCAAAUAGCAAAAGAGAUUUGAAGCUAUUAUUGUGGAAAUGUACAAACCAAAGAGGCGCUAAAUACAAAUACAGAACGAUAACACAACAAAUUGUGCUUGAGACCAGAACUGCAUUUGAAUGGGCUCAGAUUCGCCUUUGCUCGAUCAUGACCCUUCCCCUAGUGUCUCCAUCACCAGAUCAAUAUGUUCUUACAAGGGUAAAACUGCCCUGGUUAUCACUCAUCAGAAAUGACCAUCCAAGGAUAGAGCCACUAAAAUAAGCACAUGAUCAAAACGGCUCAAAGAAACAAGGGGGGUCCAACUUAAUACCCACAAGUGCCUCAAUUGCUCGAGAGCAUGCUUAUAUCUGCCAUAAUCGAUCAUCAUAGCCCUGCGCAAGCUAAGAGCAACUCUAGCAGACUCGUCAAAAUGGAAAGUCCAUCCAGCACAAAACAAUUCAACAACCAGAAACUGAUUAAUCACAAAGCCAUGCAUCAUUCGGACGAGGUGAUCUGAGGGCGAGAUCCAAAAGCCCAAAGCGCAUCAGGAAAAAGAUCCGAUGGUCGUGAGUGCCUGAGCUCUGAGAGAGCUCAAGCAUGGAUCCACAACUACAGAGCAUCAACCAGACAAGCACUACAGAGCUCUGAGUGGGCGCCGAGGUUGCGCCUGAACGCCAUCCAACCGGCGAGGAACCGUCUCCUACGCCACAUAUCCACGCCAAUGAGCCCACCUAGUAAUGCACCAGCUUACUACCUUGUUGUCGACAUUAUCCGUGUCAAUGAGCCCAUUGGGUACUCUUUAUUCUAGAUCAAAAUGUGCAUUGAUCUUGGCAGCAGUCUUGCACUGGAUAAAUAAAGUCCACCUUGUUUAGCAAGCUUCAAGCAUUAAAUGUGAUGAACAGAAACAACAAGAGAGAACUUCUCCAGCAACCUGAAUACAUCACAUAGCAGAACAAAAAAAUGAUUAGCUACCUAACCAAGAUAAUUAGGCAACAAUUUUCUCUUGUGGAACUAAAAUAUUGCGAGGAAGUGAACUCUGAGGAGGCAAAGCAAUGCAAGGCAACACUGGAAAACAAAGAGAAAAUCAAGCAGGACAUGGACAUCUGAUAUGAUUCUUCUGUUGUCUAUAUGUUAAUUCUCCAAAUAAAGGGCAUUCAUUUAGAACAAAUGGUAGUAAGUGCGGCUUGCCGCACCCCCUCGGGUGCGAUCAUUCCCAACACGGUAAUAAAGCCAUACGACCAAAGAUUAAGAACAUAAGCAAGCAACAAUUCAAUGAACAUUCUUUAUCAGAGUUUAAAGAGCUCAAAGCAAUGUACAUGAUAAAUUUCACGACCACAUCAAACAUGGUAGGGCAGAUGUCGUGGUUAAUGGGUACACCAGCCAGGACACUGUUUAGAAGGUGGAUACGAAUAGUGGUGCAAGAUAUUACUACCAUCGUUGAUUUUUUUUCAUGUCUAUAAAACCCAGCAACAAGGUUCCCCUAUAACUGCAAAUGUAUAAGGGAUCCCUUUGAUUAAGUAGAAAUUGUAGAAAUUUAUAUUACAUAGGUCCAGGGGAUGCAAAGGUAUAAAGGUGACAUGUAAAAGAAAAUAUAGACGUCAUUUCAGCAGUAAGCAUAGCCAAUAUGUAUGAGAACAUGCAUAAAAAAGAAUUGCUAUUAUAGCCAAACAUUUUAAAGUUGCACACAUCACAUGUUAUAGAUAGAUAAGAUGCCCACAUACAAUAAAACAAAAAUAACUAAUAGGGACAAAAGCCUUUGAUUUUCCCCUAAUAGAUUGAUUUAAGAGCACGGAAAUGCUCUACUUGUGAUGAUAGUUGAUGCAGAUCUGUGCAAUUGCCAAUAGAGUACCUUGCAACUCCACACUUAGUCUACAAAAUGAUGAUGUCAGCCUCACGGCUUUGGUUCCAUGUCUUGAUAGAG